ACCAGUAGCGACCCUCUAGAGGGCUGCAGUCAGCGAGGAGACAAAAGGAAGGCCUCUGAUGCUGCUGAAGCUCCGUCCAAAAAGAGGAGGCUUGAACCGGCGCAGCACAGAACUAAGCUGUCAGAAGAGGAGCAGAGAGAACAAUUCCAUGGAAAAUACGAGCAGCAACAUAAGCUCGGAGUUGGAGGUUGUGGGUCUGUGUUCGCUGGGCGCCGCAAAUCGGAUGAUUUGCCGGUGGCGAUAGAACACAUCCCAAAAGACAACGUGCCGUGCAAACACGUGGACCACAACAGGGAGAAGCUCUCCAUCGAAGUAGCUGCUAUGCUGAGGAUUCAGGCUGCUACAGCUGGAUUGAUGAGGACGUCAGCACCGAUAUCCCUGCUGGACUGGUACGACAUGGGCCAAGAGCUGAUCCUGGUUCUAGAGAGACCAGUUCCCUCAGAACUGAUUACGUGGUGGGCAAUUGAGCCUUACUGGAGGAGGAGGCGAAGAUCAUUGUGAAACAGCUCGUGGAUGCUGCCAUUGACCUGGAGGACAAAGGCAUCUUUCACCGGGACAUUAAAUGCGAAAAAAUUCUGAUCGAGACCGGAUCAGGAGUCCCGCGUGUUCGACUCAUCGACUUCGGGCUGAGCUGUUUUGCAAAGAAGCGAUCGUGCUAUCGCAAAUUUUAUGGCACUCACGAUCACGCCCCUCCAGAGUGGUACUGCCGCCGCCCCUACCGGGCCGGGCCCACCACGGUGUAUCAGGUGGGGAUUGUGCUUUUUGUGAUGACCCACAGAGUUAACUUUGAGACCACCAUGUACUUCGGAGAAAGGGUGCAGAUCAGCGACAAAGUGUCCAAAGACUGCCGGGAUUUCUUAGAGAAGUGCUUCACGCUGGUCCCUGAACAUCGGCCCAAACUGAGGGAGCUCCUUCAUCAUCCAUGGCUGAGAUAAAAACACCACACUCACACUGCACCUCAUCACAAACACGAUACACCUUAACUAUCGUCCCAUGUCGGUCACGCCAAAUGCAUUUUGUCAUCUUGUCAAAAGUGACAGAAUUUACUGAAUUGAAAAAAAUUAAAAUACAAUAGGGCCAUUCCAUGCCAAAUCACCCAGAAUUAGAAAAAAUCCCCAGGUCACCAUCUCAGAAAAUUCUGAAAAAAAUUACACUUGUAGGCAUAUCAGAGAAACUGAGAAAUCCCAAAUUUUAGCUACAAAACUCUAAUACUUUGGAAGUUACAGCACAUAGAAAAUUAAGGGUUUUUAUUGACGUUUUCUACCACAGCAUGAUCAGCCAUGUUGGAGGAUCAAUAACUUUUGUUUUUUUCUAUCUCAGAAUUCUGAUAUUAUACAUCUAGGCCUAACUUUUCCUGUAGAAUCCAUUUUUGUCAUCAUCAAGGUCGCAUGUCUUUUAGUUACUGUGCUAUCAAGCUCUCAAAAUGGCUGUAAGCCUAAUUUUUUUCAAAAUUGAUGGUAUAUAUUUAUGCAUUUUGCAGAAAUAGGGAUUGGACUAUAGAAAAGAAGCUUCUCAUAUCAAAUGUUAUGACUAUUCAGCAAUCAGAAAUGCUUUCAGACUGAGAAUAGUGUGAAUGGUAACUGAGGAAUACAUUUUUCGAAAAUUACAUUUUUUGAUUUUAUACAAAAAUGACCUCUAUUCAAUGCACUAAAAUCUAAUGAGCUCAGUUGUUCAGGAUCUUAAAAUCUCUACCAUAGUUUUAUACCAUGAUAAGCUUUAAGUGUGAGAAGUUUCAACUUUGGGGUCAAAGUGCUUCAUAUUCUUGUAAUAUUUUGAAGAUUCACACAAGUGUAGCGCUUUUGGUCACGUGUAAAAAAUAUGAAAAAUCAGUAAAACUUGUAAUAGCUUAGUUUUAUAGUUAAAUAUCAAUAUAUCGGGCUUUGCAAA